CAAACUGAAGAUGGCGACCGGCGCACGGGUGAGUAACACGUAUCCAACCUGCCGAUAACUCCGGAAUAGCCUUUCGAAAGAAAGAUUAAUACCGGAUGGCAUACGAAUAUCGCAUGAUAUUUUUAUUAAAGAAUUUCGGUUAUCGAUGGGGGUGCGUUCCAUUAGUUUGUUGGCGGGGUAACGGCCCACCAAGACUACGAUGGAUAGGGGUUCUGAGAGGAAGGUCCCCCACAUUGGAACUGAGACACGGUCCAA
rnacentral:rRNA from 1 species